UUGAUCCUGGCUCAGAUUGAACGCUGGCGGCAUGCCUUACACAUGCAAGUCGAACGGCAGCACGGACUUCGGUCUGGUGGCGAGUGGCGAACGGGUGAGUAAUGUAUCGGAACGUACCUUUCAGUGGGGGAUAACGUAGCGAAAGUUACGCUAAUACCGCAUAUUCUGUGAGCAGGAAAGCAGGGGAUCGCAAGACCUUGCGCUGAUUGAGCGGCCGAUAUCAGAUUAGCUAGUUGGUGGGGUAAAGGCCUACCAAGGCUACGAUCUGUAGCGGGUCUGAGAGGAUGAUCCGCCACACUGGAACUGAGACACGGUCCAGACUCCUACGGGAGGCAGCAGUGGGGAAUUUUGGACAAUGGGGGCAACCCUGAUCCAGCCAUGC
rnacentral:rRNA from 1 species